CCAAAGUAGCGGAAGUAGUGUGAGUGUUUCCGGGUCGCACACUUAGCAGGUCAGCUAAGUGGAAAUGAAGACACAAACACGGCGUACUUUUCUUUAGUCUUCUUCGACUCCAUCUGUAGAACAUGUCCACAUUGCAGGAUGCUCAACAUGAAUCCAGACGGCGGCUCGCGGACCUCUGAUUGGACGUUUGGAGACAUCCGGAUAUGAAAAGGAGCAAAGUGCUGGAUGUUGUUUUAAAGGCCGACAUGGAGCUGCGGAGAGAAGCAGACGUCCAGCAGCUGUUGAUGGUUAAAGAGGAGGUUCCUCCUGAGCAGCGGGACUGGAGCUCCAGUCUGGACCAGGAGGACCCACACAUUAAAGAGGACCACGAGGACCCAGAUAUCACUCCUGUGAAGAUGAUGAAGGAAAAAAACCUCAGUCCUCUCAGCUUCAUCAAAGACUAACUGAAUAGAUGGAAACAGAAACUGAUGGAGAGGACUGUGGAGGACCAGAACCAGACAGGAGAGAAAAUCCUCAUGGCUCCUCCUGGAUUUAAUAUUCAACAGGAUAGGAACCUCUUCUCCAGAACCCUGAAAUAAACCUUCCCGGUGAGUCUGAGUGUGAUACCCCAAUAAUUGGAGCAAACUCUGUGAUCCCCCUUUUUGAAAAUCAGAGCCACCACCCUGGUCUGCCAGUCACCAGGCACUGUGCUCGACAUCUACGUGAGAAAGAGACGUGUCAACCAAGACAGCCCAACAAUGUCCAGAGCCUUCAGUAUCUCAGUGAAACUCAUCCAUCCCUGGCAACUUGCUGCUGAAGUGCUUUGCGACUACCUCACAACCUCUGCCAGGCAUAUUGCUGAGUCUUCUCCUGAGUUUUCAAACUCUGCCUCCUCCAAUGAAGAGGUUUUGGUCGGAUUCAGGAGUUCCACCGCUUGACAAUAUCCCAGUCCAAUAUCCCUGAGUCAAGCCCGGCUUUCCUUAAAAUUAGCUUUCUUUGAAGGGAGUCUGCUGAGCUCAGCCUAAGAGAUAGAAAGAGGAGCUCAGACAACCGGGGAGACGCUGCUCCUUCGCGUUGAAGGGGUCCAGUUGAUCACGAUCCUCCUGGACACCUUUCUUUAGAGGUUUUACAGGUACGUCCAAGUGGAAAGAGGCUACAUGGUAGACCCAGAACAAGCUAAGAGACUAUAUCUUGAUGUAUCGUCUGCCCUCGAAACGCCUCUGGGUUCAUCAGGAAGAGCUGAAAAGCAUUGCUGAGGAGAAGGAAAUCUGGAAUACACUCCUAAGACUGCGGACCCCGCACGGUUCUAGUUAAGAGGACUAUAAUGGAUUGAUGGAUUUUUUAUUUCACUUCUUUGAUUGCAAAAACAAGAUGCUUUGACUAUUCUGACUCUUAUUAAACUUAAGACAAGCAUCAGACCUGGCAAAAAUAGUAUGUUAAUUCAUUCUCUGUUCCAACAAAGCUUUAAUCUGCGCUCCAUGAGAGUAUCCAAUGUCUUAUUUUUACAUAUUUAAAGCUUUGUGUUAUUGUGGUUAUAUAAACGUUUAAACCCUCAGUGGCGGCGCCGGUCGCCCAAUUAAGGAAGGUGUUACCUCCCUUUGUGCUUUUGAAACGUUUAAAGGCCAACAAAACUGGACUGAAGCAGGAUAUUUCAUGAUCAAAUCAUGUGUGAAUUUUAGAAAUAAUUAAAUCUCUUUCAAUGAAUUUUAACUUUUGGACAGAGCGUUACAAAGACGGUGAACUUU